UGUGUCCUGUGUGUCAGGGAGGGAAUGGCACCCAGCAUUUCCUGCUACCCUGUGCUCCUGGAAAAAUCCCCACAGGGUGUGCAUCUCCUGCUCCUGGGUGGAUGCAGCAGGAAUGGCCCUGCAGCUCCUGCUGCCCAGCACGUCCCACACAGCCAUGGCCCCCUGUGUGCCCUGUGCCAGGGCUGUGCCCCUGCCCCGGGACUGUGCUCUUGGCUGGGGAGUGAGGAGCCAUCAGGGAGCUGGGAACAGAUGCACCAGUUCUGAAAUGAGUAGUUAUUGUAAGGUGUGGCUAUGACUCGGAAAGGAUUACACAGAGAAACAGGCCAAGGUUUCCCCACGCUGAGGGUGUCCUCCCUCCCCAGCGGUUCAGCCCUCCCAGUUACCCUUUCACAGUGGGUUUGUUCAAUUACUGUGCCAGAAAAGUGUGUUGGUGACAGAAAAAGCAGAGUGUGUCUGUGAUCUUUGCAGGCUGCCUGGCAGAGCUGGCUCUGUCCUUGCCGUGCUGCCGUGAGGGGCUCUGACACCUCGGCUCCCAGCCUCCAGAAACGCUCUGUGUUCACACCAUGCUCCUUUUGUUCAGGUUUCCAGAGGAAUUUCUUUUUAGAUGGAAACCUUCAGAUGGGAUUUAUGUGAACAUGAAAACCCAUCAGGAAUGGGCAGAUUUGGGUUUUCCAGCCCAUUCCUUGGGUGCUGCUGCCAUCUAGGGUGUGAGCCAGCAGAGCCUCAGUGCCGGCCACAGGCAGCCAUGGCCUUAUCACACUGCCCACGGCCUUAUUACACUGUCCAUGGCCUUAUCACACUGCCCACAGCCUUAUUACACUGUUCCACAGCCUUAUCACACUGUCCCCAGCCUGUUCUGCAGGGCUUGCUCUGAAGGGUUCAUGGCAGCCAGGCCAGGGCCCACCGCAGCUGCCAGGGCCGAGCCACGUUUGGGGUCAAACAUGGUCGUGCCACCUUACUACGAGGUGUUGUUCCAAGGGAAAAGCUGUGCAAAUGCGGAGGAGCAGUGUUCUGAGGUCUGGUCUGCCAACCCAAGAAGUUUUUACACACACUUAGAAUGUGAGCCAAAGCCAGGCUGGCUCCUGUCCAGCCUGAGGGGCACAGGGAGGGAACAGAUGUUCAUGUCAAACCAAAAUAAUUCCUGUGAUUGAAUCUGCACCAAUGGCUCUGGCCCUGCAUCAAAGACUUCAAAGCAAAAGAAAUUUUUUUUUAAUAGUUCCAGCUCAGGUGUAACUGAAAUCCCAUUUUACAGACUAUUUCCACAGACUCCAGGUUUGUGAAGCCCAGGAAUCAGAACUCACUUUUCUUCAGCAAACCAGAGCCUGGCUGAGUGUGCUGAUGCCACGUGGAUUUUCCCUGAGCCUACCUUGAUGAGGAAUGGCCCUUGAGAUCCCUGUGGACUUCAGAACGGGAGACACAGCUGCCACAAACAAGCAAAAGGAAACCUUCAGCAGCUUCCCUUAGCAGCCAUGCAGAGCCUGGAGCAGAGCUGUGGGGUGGAUUUGCCACAGAGCCUGUGCUGGACCUGCACUGUCUGAUGGGGAGCCACAGCAGGAGCCUCAGCUGCAGAGGAUGUGCCCACCUGGAGUGUCAUGGUGUGUGUCACCUCCUGAAGGAUGGCUCCAUCCUCCCCAGGGCUAACCUGGCUGGUGCCCUGCACAGAGGGGAUACCCACACCACAGCACAUGAACCAGUUCAAGGGAGCUCCAGCUCAGCUGCUGCUGCUUCAGGCCAGAAGACCCCAAACCUGGGUUUUGACAUUAAAAAAAAGAUGAUUUCACUGAUGAAAUUGGCCUGAAACUGGCCAUUGUUGGCCUGAUGAAGGUACAUUUCAAUAAAGGUAGCCUCCUGGA